rnacentral:rRNA from 1 species
GCUGACGAGUGGCGGACGGGUGAGUAAUGUCUGGGAAACUGCCUGAUGGAGGGGGAUAACUACUGGAAACGGUAGCUAAUACCGCAUAACGUCGCAAGACCAAAGAGGGGGACCUUCGGGCCUCUUGCCAUCAGAUGUGCCCAGAUGGGAUUAGCUAGUAGGUGGGGUAACGGCUCACCUAGGCGACGAUCCCUAGCUGGUCUGAGAGGAUGACCAGCCACACUGGAACUGAGACACGGUCCAGACUCCUACGGGAGGCAGCAGUGGGGAAUAUUGCACAAUGGGCGCAAGCCUGAUGCAGCCAUGCCGCGUGUAUGAAGAAGGCCUUCGGGUUGUAAAGUACUUUCAGCGGGGAGGAAGGCGAUG